rnacentral:piRNA from 1 species
UUUAUAGCAAAGAUUAAUUAA